rnacentral:rRNA from 1 species
CAGUAGCCGCGGGAAUACGGAGGGAGCUAGCGUUGUUCGGAAUUACUGGGCGUAAAGCGCACGUAGGCGGUUAUUCAAGUCAGAGGUGAAAGCCCGGGGCUCAACCCCGGAACUGCCUUUGAAACUAGAUGACUAGAAUCUUGGAGAGGUCAGUGGAAUUCCGAGUGUAGAGGUGAAAUUCGUAGAUAUUCGGAAGAACACCAGUGGCGAAGGCGACUGACUGGACAAGUAUUGACGCUGAGGUGCGAAAGCGCGGGGAGCAAACAAGAUUAGAUACCCGCGUAGUCCCUGUCUCUUAUAA